ensembl:lncRNA
CCAGGUUAUAUAGUGACUCAGUGACUCACUACUGUAAUGGUCCAGGUUACAAUGUGACUCACUACUGUAAUGGUCCAGGUUACAAAGUGACUCAGUGACUCACUACUGUAAUGGUCCAGGUUACAAAGUGACUCACUACUGUAAUGGCCCAGGUUACAAAGUGACUCAGUGACUCACUACUGUAAUGGUCCAGGUUACAAAGUGACUCAGUGACUCACUACUGUAAUGGUCCAGGUUACAAAGUGACUCAGUGACUCACUACUGUAAUGGUCCAGGUUACAAAGUGACUCAGUGACUCACUACUGUAAUGGUCCAGGUUACAAAGUGACUCAGUGACUCACUACUGUAUGUGUGUGUGUGUUUGGGGGGGGUGUAUGUAUGUGUGUGUAUGUUUAUGAACUAGUUCCCUCUGCUGAGGGGGAGUGAUGCGGAACACUUAAAGUGUCGUAGCCAAUCACAGAAGAUGCCACAAUGAAUCAGUUCCUUUGUCCAUGUUCUAGGCUUCAUCUCAGGUUCUCUUUCUGGUCCAUGUUCUAGGCUUCAUCUCAGGUUCUCUUUCUGGUCCAUGUUCUAGGCUUCAUCUCAGGUUCUCUUUCUGGUGUGUCCAUGUUCUAGGUUUCAUCUCAGGUUCUCUUUCUGGUCCAUGUGUGAAUACUUG